rnacentral:lncRNA from 1 species
UGCUGUACAAUUUAAACCCGCACACUUAGUGCCAAUCUCAUGAUCAUAAAUGUUUAUACCCGCACACUUAGUGCCGAGAUCAACAACUCAAUACAUCUCACCUCUUUUCUUUUUAUUCAACACUUUCAUCACCACAUGCAUACAUGUAUAUAAAUUUAUCAUUCCAUUCGGCAUAAUUACAUAGACAUUAUGUCUAUUUAGAUCAAUACAAAAUAUAUGCUUAAUGACUUACCUUGUGUUGGGUAAGACGGUUCCAACUCGAUUACUCGAUGAUCUUUUCUUUGCCCUUGCUUACCUCUCCACCUUUAGCUUCUUGAGCUAAAUCGAUAAAUUAACUAGUUUAACCAUCUUGCUAAACAUUCAUACUUCAAUUACACAUGCAUAUGUAUGUUUGUAUAUUCAGCAAUGACAAUGGUAAUAUAGCAAACCUUAAUUUAACUUAUAAUUGUUCAUAACACAUUUAAAGCAUCCACUCCAUUCCAUCAUUUUAAAGCACAUACAUUACUCAAUAUUAUCCACGUUCACAUUCGGCAUUUUCACAAAUACACAUGCCGAUUUCAUUCACUCAUCUCUAAUGUUAAUUAAGAAAUGCCGAAUGUCACCAACUAAAUGG